GAGGAAAGUCCGGGCUCUAUUUAUAGUAAUGUAGCUGUAUAAUAUGCAGUGUAGGUAACUAUGAGGAUCGUGCCACAGAAAUAUACCGCCUAUUUAGGUAAGGGUGCAAUGGUUCGUUAAGAGCGUACCAGAGAUAUUUUUAAGAUAUUUGCUAGGUAAACCCCGUGUUAGAGCAAAGUAAUCUGUAUAUUACGAAAAAAUCUAUAAGUUUUGUAUAUAAUUAUUUUUUUAUUAUAUAGAAUAAUUUUUUAUUACUGAUUAAUUUAUAUACUGCACUAAGUAAUUUUUUACUUUAGAUUAAUAAUUACCCUAUUCUAUAUAUUAAUUAUAUAGAAAAGAACAAAACCCGGCUUAU
rnacentral:RNase_P_RNA from 1 species